rnacentral:tRNA from 1 species
CUGGGGGGGCGCGGCCCCGUAAAGCAAGGCUACAACUUGCCACCUACUUCGGCCACCUAUACCU